AUACAACCUUGCAGAAAGAAAGAGAAAACUAGACAUAUAAACACACUGAAUGAUCUGUUAAAUGUCGUCCGGGAGAGGCCCAGAGACUAGAAGGAAGAUCAGUCAGGCCUGGAAUAACCCAAAUAACCCAGGCGGGCCCGGAGGAGGGAAGAGACCCCAUCUGAACAGCCUUGCGGGAUGGGCCGACGUCCGACAGGACUCAGGAGGGUUCUUCGAUAAGGGAGGCUCACAGUGAGGAAAGCCCUCUGCUUCCAGGCUGAGGCCGAAUUCUCCCGCCACUCACUGGAGAUUUUACUGCAUGGAAUCCCAGAGGGUCACUUUGCAUCUACUUGUUGUCAGUAGCAUAUUUUCAUUGGGUCGCUUACUGUGGCUUCAUUUGCCAGCUUCCUCAGUGGCCCCAAUGUGCACAAAGUCUCCAGUCUUGUCCUCUGCAACCUCUCAGGGGCAGUUCCUGUUUCUUGGAGCAAAGAUGACACGACUGGUUGUGGGGAGAGGCGUUCCCGGCCAAACAUCGCACCGGCCACUUGUUUCCUCCCGUUCAGUUGAAGGCACACGGUUGAAGGGAUUAUUGUCAGUUUUUGCUGCAUGUGGGGACAAGUACAUCACAUCUCCAGAAGUGGGUCCUUCUUGACUAAAGAGCCAGCCUGCAGAAAACAGUAGUUUUUUCUUUCUUAUACCUACCAGAAAAUUGGCCAUCAAAGGUAGUUCUAUUUGUUGAUGUGUUGUGCACUGCCAGGAUUAUUGGUUUUCCCAGGGAAGCUGAUCAUGAGGAGUGUUUUACUUGGGUUAAUUAUGUUAUUAAGUAUUAUACCCCAUUCCAGGUGAGCAGAAAGAGGCUCUUUGUCUUCAGGACACUAAGGUGCCUUCUGGGGCCAAACCCUACAGCGUGGUGGGAGCCAGGGCUCCGGACGCUGCCAGGACCUCUCUGUUUCUCAUCUGUGCUGCUGUCAGCACCUCUCCCUCCUUGUGGCCAAGUCGGGAGGAUCUGACUGCCUCGCUUCUUUAUACCUCGCCAUUGAGCCAUGUGGAGAGGCCAGCGUGAAGGCCCCAAGUCCAGCCCUGGA